rnacentral:rRNA from 1 species
AGGCCCCCCACACUGGUACUAAGACACGGACCAGACUCCUACGGGAGGCAGCAGUGAGGAAUAUUGGUCAAUGGCCGAGAGGCUGAACCAGCCAAGUCGCGUGAGGGAAGAAUGUCCUAAGGAUUGUAAACCUCUUUUGUCGGGGAGCAAAAAGGCUCUGCGGAGUCGUAUUGAGAAUACCAGAAGAAAAAGCAUCGGCUAACUCCGUGCCAGCAGCCGCGGUAAUACGGAGGAUGCGAGCGUUAUCCGGAUUUAUUGGGUUUAAAGGGUGCGCAGGCGGCGUGUCAAGCAAGCGGUAAAAUAGCGGGGCUCAACCCCGUCGAGCCGUUUGAACUGGCGCGCUUGAGUUCAGGCGAGGUAGGCGGAAUUCGUGGUGUAGCGGUGAAAUGCAUAGAUAUCACGAAGAACUCCGAUUGCGAAGGCAGCUUACCAGUCUGCGACUGACGCUCAGGCACGAAAGUGUGGGUAUCGAACAGGAUUAGAUACCCUGGUAGUCCACACAGUAAACGAUGAGCGCUAGGUGUCCGGGUCGCAUGAGACUUGGGUGCCCGAGCGAAAGCGUUAAGCGCUCCACCUGGGGAGUACGCCGGCAACGGUGAAACUCAAAGGAAUUGACGGGGGCCCGCACAAGCGGAGGAACAUGUGGUUUAAUUCGAUGAUACGCGAGGAACCUUACCCGGGCUCAAACGACUCAGGAAUAUAUUGGAAACGAUGUAGCCAGCAAUGGUCUGAGUCGAGGUGCUGCAUGGUUGUCGUCAGCUCGUGCCGUGAGGUGUCGGCUUAAGUGCCAUAACGAGCGCAACCCCUACCGCCAGUUGCCAACGGGUAAAGCCGGGAACUCUGGCGGGACUGCCGGCGCAAGCUGCGAGGAAGGCGGGGAUGACGUCAAAUCAGCACGGCCCUUACGUCCGGGGCGACACACGUGUUACAAUGGCAGGUACAGCGGGAAGCCACCUGGUGACAGGGAGCGGAACCCGAAAGCCUGUCUCAGUUCGGAUUGGAGUCUGCAACUCGACUCCAUGAAGCUGGAUUCGCUAGUAAUCGCGCA